UACGUAGGGCGCAAGCGUUGUCCGGAAUUAUUGGGCGUAAAGAGCUCGUAGGCGGCUUGUCACGUCUGCUGUGAAAUCCCGGGGCUCAACCCCGGGCGUGCAGUGGAUACGGGCUGGCUAGAGGGAGGCAGGGGAGAACGGAAUUCCCGGUGUAGCGGUGAAAUGCGCAGAUAUCGGGAGGAACACCAAUUGCGAAGGCAGCUCGCUGGGACGUUACUGACGCUGAGACGCGAAAGCGUGGGGAGCAAACAGG
rnacentral:rRNA from 1 species